AUUGUAUUUGGACACGCACAGACACACUUGUCUUUAUCUAUGAUCUAUGCUUGUCUUUAUAAGACUUAUUAUAUAUGUCUUUAUAUCUAUGACACAGACUACUCACUAUUUUUGUAUUUGGAGCACAGACUACUUGUGCUGGUUAGAAGAGUAAAGUCUUUGCCCCUACCAUGAACUUCAUUAAAGACGAUAUGGGAGUCUCCCAUGUGGACAGCAGAUAAGCUUAGGCCGUAAAGCUCCGUUAGUCCAAACAAGUCAAUUGCGCUCCAUUUUCCAUCUCAAUAUCAUGUUGCGGAAUGGGUUUAGGUGUUGCUUGAUACGGUUUUGGUCCAAUCCAGCUUAAAAUCACCGGAAACAAGACGAUGCCAUGGAAUAAACCGAAAAUAAUGACCAAAGAAAAUAUCU